CAUUGUGCAAGUAGAUUAGUAGGGCUUGUAAUGGCUUCGACCCCCCAAUAUACAUUUUCUAUUAAUGAAAUUUCAAGUGUAUUUGCUUCUUCCAAUAUUGUUUGAACUAGCCUUGAUAUUUUAAUUACUGAAUUUUAGACUUAAGGUUGUAUGAACGCUUAGUCACAAACAGUAAUUAAGUUUCAUAGAUACAUGAGUACGUAAGUUUACAACGAACACAUACUAUUGGUAGUAUUUUCUCAAAUGUUCAAUGUUCUAUUGACGAGGCAAAAGUUUUCCUUCCGUGCCCUGAAUCUAAAAGGUACCAGGUUGUGUUUCUUAGUUUAUGAGAUAUUGGCCCUUCCACUUUGGGCCUAACACAUCACAGUGGGGGUAAUGUAUGCCUUGCGCGUUCUCUUUGGUGAAUAUGAUUGGCUCCACUUUUCUGCCUGUUGUGAAUGGUUAACAAUGUGGUUGGUCAUAGGAGGAUCUUUAGCCU
rnacentral:lncRNA from 1 species